rnacentral:rRNA from 1 species
UGGGGAAUAUUGGACAAUGGGGGCAACCCUGAUCCAGCAAUGCCGCGUGUGUGAAGAAGGCCUUAGGGUUGUAAAGCACUUUAGUUGGGGAGGAAGGUUAGUAGUUUAAGAGAUAACUAAUUUGACUGUACCCAAAGAAUAAGCACCGGCUAACUCUGUGCCAGCAGCCGCGGUAAUACAGAGGGUGCGAGCGUUAAUCGGAAUUACUGGGCGUAAAGGGCGCGUAGGCGGUGUAUUAAGUUAGAUGUGAAAUCCCUGGGCUUAACCUAGGAACUGCAUCUAAUACUGGUACGCUAGAGUGCAGUAGAGGGUAGUGGAAUUUCCGGUGUAGCGGUGAAAUGCGUAGAUAUCGGAAGGAACACCAGUGGCGAAGGCGGCUACCUGGACUGACACUGACGCUGAGGCGCGAGAGCGUGGGGAGCAAACAGGAUUAGAUACCCCUGUAGUCC